rfam:Ixodes scapularis strain Wikel colony gcontig_1108379549477, whole genome shotgun sequence.
GUCAGGAUGGCCGAGCGGUCUAAGGCGCUGCGUUCAGGUCGCAGUCCGGACAUCCGGGCGUGGGUUCGAAUCCCACUUCUGACA